CUGUUCUCUCCUGAUCUCACAGUAGUAUUCACUAUGUGCCAAUGGUUCAUGCCUGCAGGGGGGCCACCAAAUCCAUUAUCAGAGGGCUCUGGACUCUGGGCUAUUGAGAAACAACUGCUUCCUGGAGGUACAGACUCUGUUGAGGUUUAAAGUUACUCAGUCACUACUAACCACUAUGAACAGGCAAGCGAGGCAGACUUCAAUUCUAAAACAGCCCAAACAAUGGAGUUGUUCACAACUUCUGUCUGCUGAUUGGCCUGGAGAAAUCCAUGUCAAUGGAGAAACCAUACAUGGAGCACUGAAGGAAGAUGAGAAUCGAGUAAAACUG